CGCGCUCCUCUGCGGCUCCACCCCCGGCUGCAGGCAGUGUACGCGGCUCCCUCGCCCACCGGCUAGCUCCCCCUGCCCCUCGUGCAGGGACGGACGCCGUGUCCUUCCUCUCGCCCAUCACAUCCCGUUUCUGCGGACCUCACCCACCCCCCGGGGCGGACGCCCUGCAGACCUUCCCGGCUCCGCCGUGGUGCACGACUCCCCUGCCCUGGCCUGUGUGUGUGCUGCACGGGUAUUCUUCAGUUAAUGCACAGAGGCUCAGCUCCGAGAGGACCCAGGCCUUGCUUUCUUAGAGGCACGCGGUGUCACCGCCUCGGAAGACUGUUGUUAGGAAUAAAAGAGAAAAUGCCCAUGAACAGGCAGCACACAAUAGAAGCUUAAGACGUGGUGGCUGUAACCACACUCUUCCUAACAGAGCUCCGUGGCUUCAUCUGCCCGCGGGGUAUUCAGCAAACAUUGUUACUGAUUUGAACCCAAAGCCCCCGUUAGGCUACCUCUUCCCAGUACGUUCAUCCUUCUGGUUUCCCCGCCUUCCAGUUUGCCCCCUGUCUUUCCUGCUGAUAAUUUAGUCCCCGGACCCAAACAGGAGACUUGACAAGGGAAGUGAAGAGAUUCGGAGGGGAGUGCGCACUAGGACGGGGUGGCAUGCCUGCACCCGGCUUUGCCACCCCACCCGCUCCCUGCGACUUCCGGUUCCUCCCUCGCAGUCCUGCUGAGCGGAUGCAACGAUGGGGCUAGGAUACCUGUGUGUUAAGUGGCCUGAAGCUAUUGACUCGCUACAAACCUAAGGAGGCAUUGGAAAUAGUGCUCUGUCCACCCCCGCUGCUUACUCCAUCCGCGUGUGUCUCCUUUGAUUUCCUUCGACCCCCAAACGCAGACCAUCCAGAACCCUUUUAUUCUUUUCCUACAACAACCAGGGACUCCAGGCCACUGCUGGAGAUCUGUUUGGUUGCCACCAACGGGGGAGCAGGAGUACCACUGGCACCUACAGGGAAGAGGUGCGCUACACAGAUGGGCAGGACCCCCGAUGAAGCAUUAUCCAACCAGGUGCACCGAUGCUGAGGUUAAGAAACCGUGGUCUAGCGUGAGUUCU
ensembl:lncRNA